UCAGGUUCUUUCUGAGACAUGUUUUCAUGGUGUGGGAAUAAGACUUGGUGGUCUUAUACAGCUAAUACAAAGGUUUGCAUCACAGCUUGUCUGUAAGGAUUGAAGCUGGGAGUGGGCAUUGGAGCUGACUUUUAUGAUAACUGUGGCUGCAUAAAAUGGUUGUGUGAUAUAAGUGCAACUAUAAAUUGCUAUUUUUGUGUAUGCUUGAGAAAAUGUUUAUAAUUUUUUUACAAAAAAAAAAAAAUAUGUAAAGAUUCUCCAUUUUCAACAAGAUUGGAAGUUGUAGGUUAACUUGUAUUUGACAUUACAAAAAUUCUUUCUAUUUUCCGUUUAUACUCAUGUCUAGUCAAAACACUUCCAGCAGUAUAAGAAUGGAUAAUCUAAAUUAAGAAAAAGAAAGAAAAAAGAAAAAAAAAUGUUCAAUUAUUGAAAUGUAUUUUUUUUUGCAAAUUGCAAUGUAUAUAUUUUUGCCAUUUUUGUGUUAUUUAAGGAUUUGAGAUACUUUCAAAUUUUACAAGUUACUUUAUACAUGUAGUUGAUGCAAUUAAAUCUGCCGAUGUGAAUAUUCCCACUAAAUUUCUUAGCAAAAAUUUUAAUUAUUUUUGUUUUUUUUAGCAACGUUUCAAAAUACCUUACCAUAGCAAAUGCCUCUCUAGUGUAAACUAAAAAGAUGAAUAAUGGUCUGCAGUAUAUAUAUCCCCUUACAACCUUUUCUUUCAUGUUAAUUUUAAUAUCUUUAAGAUAUGUGACAAG